ACUGCCUGGUGGAUGUCUGGACCUGUCUGGUAGGUACGACUGCCGGGGUACUGGAUAGCUAGGGCUGGAAGGGUACUUCGUAACCAUAUACUAAGGCACCACCUGCGGGGAGGCCACUGGUUGGCCAGCAACAAGGAAAACAUAUGUGAACAAAACCAACAAAACUACCCUAACCCAAUCAUUUGCAACCCACUAUCUACUCUCCCCUCUUGGGAAUGAUCUUAAAGAUGAUAAGUUAGGAGCAAUAAAAUAAACCUGUAACAAC